rnacentral:rRNA from 1 species
GUUUGAUCAUGGCUCAGAAUCAACGCUGGCGGCGUGCCUAACACAUGCAAGUCGAACGCGAAAGUGGAGCAAUCCAUGAGUAGAGUGGCAAACGGGUGAGUAACGCGUGGGCGACCUGCCUUCGAGUGGGGGAUAACCUUCCGAAAGGAGGGCUAAUACCGCAUGACAUCCCGUGUUUGGAUACACGGACAUCAAAGCCGGGGAUCGCAAGACCUGGCGCUUGAAGAGGGGCCCGCGUCCGAUUAGCUAGUUGGUGAGGUAACGGCUCACCAAGGCUCUGACGGGUAGGGGACGUGAGUGCGUGACCCCCACCACUCGCACUGAGACACUGGCGAGACACCUACGGGUGGCUGCAGUCGAGAAUCUUCGGCAAUGGGCGCAAGCCUGACCGAGCGACGCCGCGUGCAGGAGGAAGCCCUUCGGGGUGUAAACUGCUUUUAUGAGGGAACAAGACUUCGGUUUGAGUGUACCUCAUGAAUAAGGGGCUGCUAACUCUGUGCCAGCAGCAGCGGUAAUACAGAGGCCCCGAGCGUUAUCCGGAAUCAUUGGGCGUAAAGGAUCCGUAGGCGGCGUUGUAAGUUGCCUGUUAAAUACCCCGGCUCAACCGGGGAAGUGCAGGCAAAACUGCAAUGCUUGAGCGUGUGAGAGGCUGAUGGAACGCAUGGAGUAGGGAUGAAAUCCGUUGAUACCAUGCGGAACACCAAAGGCGAAGGCAUUCAGCUGGCACACCGCAGACGCUGAGGGAUGAAAGCCUGGGGAGCGAAACGGAUUAGAUACCCGUGUAGUCCAGGCCCUAAACGAUGUCGACUAGUCAUGUGGAGUGUCGACUCUCCACGUGGCGUAGCUAACGCGUUAAGUCGACCGCCUGGGAAUUACGAUC